rnacentral:rRNA from 1 species
AUGUCGGGCGCCGUGCUGGUCGCCAUAGCGGCGUCCAUCGGGAACCUGCUGCAGGGGUGGGAUAAUGCGACCAUUGCAGGUGCCGUCCUGUACAUAAAGAAGGAGUUCAGCUUGGAGACCCAGCCCUUGAUCGAGGGCCUCAUCGUGGCCAUGUCGCUCAUCGGGGCGACGGUUAUCACCACGUUCUCCGGGGCGGUGGCUGAUGCUGUUGGUAGGCGGCCCCUGCUGAUCGCCUCGUCUGUCCUCUACUUUGUCAGUGGCCUGGUGAUGCUCUGGGCGCCCAACGUCUAUGUGUUGCUCUUGGCCAGGCUCAUCGACGGGUUCGGUAUCGGUUUGGCUGUCACCCUUGUCCCUCUUUACAUUUCGGAGACCGCCCCGACUGACAUUAGAGGGCUGCUGAACACGCUGCCGCAGUUCAGUGGGUCAGGAGGGAUGUUCCUUUCUUACUGCAUGGUGUUCACCAUGUCGCUCAUGCCGCAGCCUGACUGGAGAAUCAUGCUUGGGGUUUUGUCGAUCCCGUCGCUUAUGUACUUUGCAUUGACUGUCUUCUAUUUGCCCGAGUCGCCGAGAUGGCUUGUGAGCAAAGGAAGAAUGGCCGAGGCCAAGCGAGUGUUGCAAGGACUGCGGGGAAGGGAAGAUGUCUCAGGAGAAAUGGCCCUUCUUGUUGAAGGAUUGGGUGUUGGGAAAGACACACAUUUUGAGGAAUACAUAAUUGGGCCUGAUGAUGAGCUUGCUGAUGACGGUCUGGCUCCAGAUGAAGAGAAGUUGAAGCUGUACGGAGCUGAAGAAGGGGUAUCUUGGAUCGCCCGUCCUGUUAGGGGCGGUGGCCAAAGUGCACUUGGAAGCGCCUUGGGUCUCAUGUCUCGUCAUGGGAGUAUGGUUAGUCAGGGUAAAUCUCUCGUGGACCCACUUGUCACUCUCUUCGGAAGUGUCCAUGAGAAGAUGCCUGAGGUAAUGGGGAGCAUGCGCAGCACAUUGUUUCCUAACUUUGGCAGCAUGUUUAGCGUGGCGGAACAGCAGCAGGCUAAAGCUGACUGGGAUGCUGAGAGUCAUAGGGAUGAUGAAGAUUAUGCAUCGGAUCACGGUGCUGAUGACAUUGAGGAUAGCCUCAAUAGCCCGCUUAUUUCUCGUCAAGCGACAAGCGUGGAGGGUAAGGAGAUUGCUGCACCUCAUGGAAGCAUAAUGGGUGGUGUGGGAAGAAGCAGCAGCAUGCAGGGAGGGGAGGCAGUAAGCAGCAUGGGCAUUGGUGGGGGGUGGCAGUUAGCUUGGAAGUGGACUGAGAGAGAAGGUGCAGAUGGGCAAAAGGAAGGUGGCUUCCAGCGUAUUUACUUGCAUGAGGAGGGCGUGUCUGGUGAUCGGAGGGGCUCUAUAUUGUCUAUGCCAGGAGGUGAUAUUCCUCCUGGUGGUGAGUAUAUCCAGGCAGCCGCUCUAGUGAGCCAACCUGCCCUUUAUUCGAAGGACCUGAUAGAGCAGCAGCUUGCUGGUCCUGCCAUGGUACAUCCAUCUGAGGCAGUUGCCAAGGGUACAAAGUGGGCAGAACUAUUUGAACCUGGAGUGAAGCAUGCACUGUUCGUUGGCAUAGGAUUACAGAUCCUGCAGCAGUUUGCGGGUAUCAAUGGAGUCCUCUACUACACACCUCAGAUACUUGAGCAAGCAGGUGUCGGGGUUCUUCUAUCAAACAUUGGACUAAGCUCUUCCUCAGCAUCUAUUCUUAUUAGUGCCUUGACAACCUUGCUGAUGCUUCCCAGCAUUGGCAUCGCCAUGAGACUCAUGGAUAUGUCAGGAAGAAGGUUUCUUCUCCUUUCAACAAUCCCUGUCUUGAUAGUAGCGCUAGCUGUCUUGGUUUUAGUGAAUGUUCUGGAUGUCGGAACCAUGGUGCACGCUGCGCUCUCAACGAUCAGCGUCAUCGUCUAUUUCUGCUUCUUCGUCAUGGGGUUUGGGCCUAUCCCAAAUAUUCUCUGCGCGGAGAUUUUCCCCACCUCUGUCCGUGGCAUCUGCAUAGCCAUCUGCGCGCUAACCUUCUGGAUCGGCGACAUCAUCGUGACAUACACUCUCCCCGUGAUGCUCAAUGCCAUUGGUCUCGCUGGAGUCUUCGGCAUAUAUGCCAUCGUUUGUGUACUAGCCUUUGUAUUCGUCUACAUGAAGGUCCCUGAGACAAAGGGCAUGCCCCUGGAGGUCAUCACUGAGUUCUUCUCUGUCGGGGCAAAGCAGGGCAAGGAAGCCACGGACUAG